GAGUGACCAAUGAUCAUGGCCAAGAUGACCAAUGGAUGUGUCCAGGGUGACCAGUGUCCAUGGCCAGGCUGACCAAUGACCAUGGCCAAGGUGACCAAUAACAUGGCUAGGGUGACCAAUGGUCAUGACCAAGGUGACCAAUGACCAGGACCAGGGUGACCAAUGACUGUGUCCAGGAUGAUCAGUGACAGUGACCAGGUUGACCAACAGCCAUGACCAAAAAGUGACCAACGACCACAACCGUGGUGACCAAUAGCCAUGUCCAGAGUGACCAACAGCCAUGGCCAAGAUGACCAAUGGCCAUGGCCAAAGUGACCAAUACCCACUUGCAGAGUGACCAAUGACCAUGGUGACCAAUGACCAUGGCCAAGGUCACCAACAACCAUGGUCAAGGUGAGCAAUGACCAUGACCAGGGUGACCAAUGACCAUGGUGACCAAUGACCAUGGCCAAGGUGACCAGUGACCACAACCAGGGUGACCAGUGACCAUGGCCAAGGUGACCAGUGGUCAUAGCUGAGGUGAGCAAUGACCAUGACCAGGGUGACCAAUGACCAUGAUGACCAAUGACCAUGGCCAAGUUGACCAACAACCAUAGUCAAGGUGACCAAUGACCAUGGCCAAAGUGACCAAUGACCAUGACCAGGGUGACCAAUGACCAUGAUGACCAAUGACCAUGGCCAAGUUGACCAACAACCAUAGUCAAGGUGACCAAUGACCAUGGCCAAAGUGACCAAUGACCAUGACCAGGGUGACCAAUGACCAUGGUGACCAACAACCAUGACCAGGGUGACCAAUGACCAUGGUGACCAAUGACCAUGGCCAAGUUGACC